ACUCUGUUCAACGGGCGCGGAAUUCUAACCGUGCGAAGGUAGCGUAAUCACUUGUUCUUUAAUUGAGGACUAGUAUGAANGGCCCCACGAGGACUACACUGUCUCCUUUUUCUAAUCAAUGAAACUGAUCUCCUCGUGAAGAAGCGAGGAUAAANAUAUAAGACGAGAAGACCCUAUGGAGCUUUAAACAACUAGNGNUACUUGCUAAUNCCUAAACUGUCAUUUCCUGAAAGCUAAACAAAUUAAAGCAUNUUACNNNCUAGUUUUAGGUUGGGGGACCACGGAGAAAAGAAUNAACCUCCACGNUGUAAUGAAGCCUCCCAUCUUCUAAGCNAAAGAGNUACANCUCUAAAGCAUCAACACAUUGACUCNCAUUGACCCAAUAAUUUGAUCAACGAACCAAGUUACCCUAGGGAUAACAGCGCAAUCUACUUUNAGAGCUCAUAUCGACAAGUAGGUUUACGACCUCGAUGUUGGAUCAGGGUAUCCUAGUGGUGCAGCCGUCC
rnacentral:rRNA from 1 species